CUGUGUUGUACCUAUAGUCUUAGCUCUCUCCCUUAAACCAGGUAAAGCUGUGUUUUACCUAUAGUCUUAGCUCUCUCCCUUAAACCAGGUAAAGCUGUGUUGUACCUAUAGUCUUAGCUCUCUCCCUUAAACCAGGUGAUGGCAUGAACCUCCAAUCUGGUGUCAUUGAUUCAAAGGCUAAUACUGAAAUUGAAACGUCCGACAUAUUUGUUGAUUUAAUCAGAAAUUUGUUUCCAGAAAAUAUUUUUACUGCAUGCUUUCAGCAGGUGAGAAUAGAAUUGG
rnacentral:sRNA from 1 species